AACGAACGCUGGCGGCAUGCCUAACACAUGCGAGUCGAACGAGACCUUCGGGUCUAGUGGCGCACGGGUGCGUAACGCGUGGGAACCUGCCUUUAGGUUCGGAAUAACUCAGAGAAAUUUGAGCUAAUACCGGAUGAUGUCUUCGGACCAAAGAUUUAUCGCCUUUAGAUGGGCCCGCGUUGGAUUAGCUAGUUGGUGGGGUGAAGGCCUACCAAGGCGACGAUCCAUAGCUGGUCUGAGAGGAUGAUCAGCCACACUGGGACUGAGACACGGCCCAGACUCCUACGGGAGGCAGCAGUGGGGAAUAUUGGACAAUGGGCGAAAGCCUGAUCCAGCAAUGCCGCGUGAGUGAUGAAGGCCUUAGGGUUGUAAAGCUCUUUUACCCGAGAUGAUAAUGACAGUAUCGGGAGAAUAAGCUCCGGCUAACUCCGUG
rnacentral:rRNA from 1 species